rnacentral:tRNA from 1 species
GGGGUUGUGGCUUAGUGGUACAGCGCUCGUCUAGCACGUGUGACGCACUGGGAUCGAUCCUCAGCACCACA